rnacentral:lncRNA from 10 species
CUUUUGUCCACCUGGCCAUAUUCCUAGACAAGUGGCUUCAUGUUUUUGGAUACUGUCCUUUGCCUGCUGGCUUGGAAAAUGGAAGAGAUGGAAAAGAGCAGAGAGUUUUCUUCUGGGCACCAUUUUUAUGUUGGCCCUGUCCUUCCACUGCUCUCUAGUCCUGCUAGAAGAUCCCACUGGACAUACAGAUUUGGAAGCGAUGUGAUACUGCUUUUACUGAUUUCUCAUGUCAUGGAGGAGCAAAAAGGGAAUUCAGAGGACAUCCUAAUUAAAAAUGAAAAUGGAUCAUCACACAAGUAG